GUGAGAGAAAGGGAUGGAUAGAAA
rnacentral:piRNA from 1 species